rnacentral:rRNA from 1 species
GACGAACGCUGGCGGCGUGCUUAACACAUGCAAGUCGAACGGAAAGGCCCUGCUUUUGUGGGGUGCUCGAGUGGCGAACGGGUGAGUAACACGUGAGUAACCUGCCCUUGACUUUGGGAUAACUUCAGGAAACUGGGGCUAAUACCGGAUAGGAGCUCCUGCUGCAUGGUGGGGGUUGGAAAGUUUCGGCGGUUGGGGAUGGACUCGCGGCUUAUUAGCUUGUUGGUGGGGUAGUGGCUUACCAAGGCGAUGACGGGUAGCCGGCCUGAGAGGGUGAGCAGCCACACGAGAAAGGAGACACGGUACAGACGCCGAAGGGAGGCAGAAGGGGGGAAUAUUGUACAAUGGGCGCAAGCCGGAUCCAGCCAGCCCGCGUGGGUGAAGAAGGCCUUCGGGUUGUAAAACCCUUGUGUUGGGAAAGAAAAGCAGCAGGUGAAUACCCCGCUGUGCAGGCGGGACCCAAAGAAUAAGCACCGGCUAACGUCGUG